rnacentral:snoRNA from 1 species
AAGCCAUGAUGCAGCCAGUCCCUUUGAUACUCCUUGAAACAAACCUAAGCGGCUUUGAAAGUUUCAGCUGGACCUUGGGUGAAGGUAGACAUCUUGUUUCUCAGCUC